UAUGUGUUUCGCUGUGUUCGUUCCAGUAUUUUGUCUGAUUUAUUUAAAAACUAAAAAUUCGAUCUCUGGUAUUGCAGCGAAAUUGUCUAAACUGGUAUUAACUAUUCCUGGUAAAUCGCGGAGAAGAGUGGAAUGAACAAAAAAGUCAGACCGAGACUAGAACCACCAGCAGCGUAACACGGAAAUCUUGGAACAAAGAGACACCGAGUGGUUCGUGUUGUCCGGUUUGGAUAUCAGCGGUAAAGCGAACGUUGUGUGUACUAUUGCAAAAUAUAUAGCGGAUCUCCACGGUUAGGAUACAGACCACAACGCUUUGGACGUAUCUUUAAAAAAGAGAAAAAUCAGAGACUUUUUGGAUUUGUCUGGGGGACAUUUUAAACAUUUUGUGACAAAUUGGAUUUAAAACAUUUCGGAUAUUGGAUACCUAGUUUGAUAUGUCCACAGAGAUUGUUUAAGACGUUUUCACCUCAUUUUAGGGUUUAUUUUUAAUUAAAGGCUUCUUAAAACAUGUAUGAAAAUGUGUAUAUUAUACAAUGAGUCUUAUAUUGUCUGCUCUGACAAAAAUAAAUUAUUAUUUUAGAUUUUA